ACACAUGAGCCUUUACAAAGGGAGAAGAUCCCCUUUAUAUACUAAGGGACCAUCCUCGAAAUAAUACAAAAAAGUACAAUGGUUGGUGUCGUCGAUAUACGAGUGUCAGAGCUCGUGACAUUAUGGUGAGCCACAUCAUUUGGUCCAUUUAUUGACUGAAAUCAACCUUUCUUAAGUCGACCAUGCCAAUGCAGCCUUCUUUAGUGAGGCCGUAUAUGGAUACUAUGUGGAUGUGGAGAACUAAAUUUGCUUAAUACAGGUAUAAAUUUGAAGUUUAUUCGUGAAUUUUGAGACCUAUGUAACCUAGUGCUCUACUACCACUUUGUCACGACCAGAAUUUUCCACCAUCAGGGGUCGUGAUUGCGCCUACUAAUGAGAGCUAGGCAAGCCAACUCAAACUUAUGUUUCCAUUUUUAACGAUACUUAUUCAAACCUAUCAACAAUAUUAAAAUUUAAGCGGAAUAAAUAAAUUUAGCAGAAGACUUAACAAAUUUACCUAGAUGCGAUACUGAAAUUCCAACAUGAAACACUAUCCAAGAACUAGUGUCACAAUACUCAUGAACUUCUAAGAAUAAUACACACAACCAUCUAAAAGAAAUAAAAUAUUGUUUGUCUCGAAAUUUGAGAUAACAGACUGAAAAUAAAGAUAGAGGAGACGCCGGGUCCUGCGGAUGCCUACAAGGCUACCUCGGUGUCUCGAUGAUCAAAAGCUAACACCCGCACUACUGCUGCUGCUGUCUAAAACCCCAAUCUGCGCAAAAAGAGCGCAGAGUGUAGAAUCAGCACAACCGACCCCAUAUGCUGGUAAGUGCCCGGCCUAUCCCGGCGAAGUAGUGAUAAGGCUAGGACCAGACACUCACAUACCAGUACAGUUCAAAUAUAUAUACAACAAAAAUAACAGGAAUCAAACAUUAAAUAUUUGGGAAGGCAAAAAUAUGCUCUAGGGUAACAAUAAAAUAUAAUGGCAGGAACGGAAUAAAGGAAUUUAAUUCACUUCCAAGUUCAAAUCAUCUUGUUGCAAGCGUGCAACCCGAUCCCAUUUCAUUUCAUAUCUUGUGGUAGGCGUACCACCCAUUCCCAUUUCAUAAUAUCUUGUGGUAGGCGUACCACUCGCUCCCAUUACAUUUAAUAUCUUGUGGUAGGCGUACCAUCCGCUCCCAUUUCAUUUAUUAUUUUGUGGUAGGCGUACCGCUCGCUCCCAUUUCAUUAUCAACUUAGUUCACAAUAUGUCACUGGCGACUAUGGCCAAUAACAACAAUCAAUACAAUAUAUUACUGGCAGAAAACAAGUAAUAAUAAAUUAACAAAAUAUAUAUGUUACCGGUAUGAAACCAAUAAUAAUAAAUUAACAAAAUAUAUAUGUUACCGGUAUAAAAUCAAUAAUAAUAAAUCAACAGAAAAAAUAUAUUACCGGUAUGGAACCAAUAAUAAUAAAUCAACAAAAUAUAUAUAUUACCGGUAUGGAACCAAUAAUAAUUAAUCAACGAAAUAUAAAUAUCACCGGUAUGAAACCAAUAUUAAUAAUUCCUUUCAUAUAAUCACAUAAGAUUAUUAAAGUUUAAUCAAUUUAAGAUUCACGGUCAUGCUUGACCCCCAACGUAUAGAUACGUCACCAUGCCUAUACAUCAGAUUCCACACAUAGCACUUAGCAUAUAGACUCAACUCCUAUUUCCCAAGAUAGGAUAGAUCAAACACUUACCUCGAAGGUUUACGGCAAACUCAAUACUUAAGCAAUGUUUUUUUCUUUUGAAUUUGGCUCCAAUUAAAUUGUAUCUGGAUAAAUUUUCAAACGCAAAAAAAAAAAAAAUCAGCAAACUGCAGCAAAUGGAGAUGUGCAGCUAACGGAUUGUGGUGAAAGUUAAAAGUGAAUUUGGACUUGCUGUACACAAAUUUGAUAACGGGCAAAACCAAUGCUUAAGCAAAUCAUUAGUUCACGCAGGUAAGUAAAAUAUUUAAAACAAAAAGUAUAAAUUCAUGUUUGUUCCCAAGUACUGCCUCAAUAAAACCUCUAACAUAAAUGAAUAAUUCGUUGUUCUCAAGUAAUUAAGGAACAUCUAUAACCUAAAGAUUUUCAUACUAAUGCACAACCACAGAUUGAAUUCGAGCAAGACCAAUAGACCGCACCUCGAACGGGAAAGCAAACUCGAAGAAUGACUAUCGUCGACUUCGACGCUCACCGGAAAACUUGAACCAAGGCUGUCAUGGACCUUAACAUUCACCUUGUGGCUGCAUGAAGGAGACGGGGAAGGCUGGCCAGUGAAGUGGUCGACGGGCGUGGGCUGUUUGGUGGUUUCGUUGCUGGAGGUCGUUUUGGGUGGACGACUGGACGACGGGGAAGCUGGUUAUUUGCUGCUGGUCGGAGCAGCUGACUGGAACGAAUCUGUUGGUCGACGGGGUUUUGUGAGGGACUGGCGGACAGAUUGGAGGAGAACGGGGAUCGUUUGGAAGUGAUGCUGGAGUGUGCGACGUUGGGGUCAGCUAUGGAGUUUUUUCUUUUCUGUUCGUUUGUUUCUUCAUCCGUGAGGAAGAAGAAGCAAAGGGGGUGACAGUCAUGAAUGAUGGCUUUCAUGUAACUAUUAUAAUAAUAAAUUUGGAGGACACUUCCGCACUAACAAGUAAAGCUUCUUCUUAUUCUAUAAUUAAUUUCAAUCAAUU
rnacentral:lncRNA from 1 species